UUCUGUUAGGUACUGGGGCACGGGAGACGCAAAGGCUGCGUAACUUCCUGCCGCAAGUAAUGCAAAAUAAUUUUUUUUAAAGGCAAAGCAGAAUGUUACAGUGUUCAUCCGGUUAAGCGCAACACAAUUAGCCCGAUAGUCACAAUAAAUCCAGUCGCGUGGUGCACAGGAGGUUGCCGGGAAAAGAAUGCGGUCCGCGUGGUAGGACAGGGCUUGGUUUGGCACAAGGCCAUCUGAGGUCAAACCCGACCGGGGGGACCCCCCCCCCAGGACUGCACACCUACGGUGGGUUUGGGAGGAAAGUCUGAGGAAAAGAGAUUCAUUCACGGGAUCUCAGCUGGGCGGCUUGGGCCCUAUGCAGCGCUGCGUAUCGCCUUCCCAUGAUCCCCGGCUGCUUCGGAGAACGGGGUCUGGAUUACAUCAGAGCUUCCAACCCGCACAUCCAUCAAAAAUGUGAAACCCAUAGCCGGCAGCGAGCAGUUCGGUGUUCUAUAAAACCUCAUUCUCAUGAGGAAAAAAAAAACAUGAAAAAACUGCUUUCAGAGCAGAUGAAGAGCGAACUGAUGAUCCAUAAACGUGUCCCUCAACUACUGACGUCUGAGAGUCCAGCCAAGGUGUUUCAAAUUCAAAAUAAAUUACCAUAAAUUAAA